GGUCCGCACGCUCGGCCCGAAUGGAGGCACAGGGUGGGCCAAGACGGGGAUGAGGGCCUGGAAGGGACAGCUGGAGAGGAAGAGGGGACAGGAGCGAGCUGAGGACAGGGAGAGGCAUUGGAGAAUUGGAGAGAGCCGGACAGUUGCCGAGAACCGACGAGCGCCAGCUAGAAAGUUGGCAAGCGCCCAUAAGGAGGUUGCUCAGAGAUUGCAGUGCGUCAGACAGAAAGGCGCAGCGGGUGAGAGAGAAAGUUGUGGGGAGCUGACACAACUGAAAGGCACCACCAGAAACCAUGAGAACCAAAGGAAAACAGACAACAAAAGACAGAUGAGAGCAGAGCGCAAGGCAGAAGAAUAAAGGGUACACGCCACAAUCUCAAACCAGCUGAUCUCAUGGGCUUUCAAGAUUCAGCGUCAACAACAUGAAAGAUGCAACAGAUUCUCCAUAGCUUGGCACCGUUUAGCUUGAUAUUGGCUGUGUCUCCACGGGCUACCCUCUUGCUCAAACUCAAGGUAAUGCAGGAAUCACGGGCAGAGUGGGGUGGGGGCAAAUUCUCUGGGUUGUGUCAGACUGGAUGAUCUCUUCGGGCCUUUAAUGUCUAAUGAAAUGAAAUGUCUGCAUCCUGCAUAUACAUAAUCAAACUCUCUGAAAAGCCUGGCUGGUGAGUCUAUGUUAGCAAAGCAAAGCCUGGAGUUAAAAGAUCUGGGUUGUCUUAAAUCAUUUACUUUCUAGACAAUGUGCUUUAGACAAAUGUAAAUCACUGGGUGAAGUUCAGGGGUCGCCAGAUGAAAUUCUCUGGCUUGUGCUAUGCAAGGGGACAGACUAGAUCGCCUGCUUGAGUGGGACAAGGUUGAGCAAUUAGCCGCUGGCUUUAAUGACGCACAUUAGGACAGACAUUGAAAACCGGAAGAAUCGGACAAUUCAUUUGCUUUCCAAUGAAAAAAAGAAAAGAAAAGAAAGGAAGACUUAAAACAAAUAGAUUAAAAACUCAGAAGCAAACGCCCAGAAGUGACACUCGAAUGCUCCGCGACCAGGCUGGGGGUGGGGGGAAAAGCGCAUUCAGAGGGGAAAAAGCAACUCAGCAGGCAAAAGGAAAUGACCCGUCGUGCUCCUCAGUUAAUAUUUACACACAGCAGAAGGGAUGGAAGGAACGAAUGGCAAAAUAGACCCAGAGGAAAGGAAGGAGAGGAGUGGGGGGGGAGGUGACCCUGUUAACAGAAUGGGGCCUGGGAUCCUGCCGAAACUGACGCGCCGGCUGAAACUGACGGGGGCCGUGAACGCCUUUAACUUUAUGCGUGUGCUUAAAUCUGAAGCCGCUUAUUGUUCUCGUUACGUCCUUCGCUAAAGCAAGCCGUCCCAUGGACCCCGACAGGAUCGACGGGCGGCCCAGAUUUCCACAAAGCAGCCAAGGGCACAUUGAAUCUGAUCCAAAGGCAGAGACGCUCCGAAAGGAGGCGGUGGAUUGGCCCGAAACGUCAGCUCUCGGUUGGCCGCCUUGCUGGAAGACACGUGAGCUAGCCACAGGGUUUUAGGCUCCGGGCAGGGAUCGGACAAGACACUCAAAAGCCCAUCGACUCUUCCCGCUAGUCGGCAGGUCGGCAUCUCAAAGGCAGGUUUACGUGCCGCAGUGAGCAGGGAUGGAUUUGGGUGCACAGGACCGGAGAGGCGAUGCCAGCAAAUCCAUCCUGUUCGUGCUCUGACCAGCUGCUUGGCUGAAUCGGCACCAGCAGGCACAAAAGCAAAGCCUGCUGUGUGUUUAUAAAAUCUGGAUCCUCGACUCUAUUUCAUUCAGCUCAUUUCCACGGACUUCAAGGAAGUUAGAAGCCUACAUUGCGUUGACGAUCAGGGCCUAACAGGGCCACCACAGUCACCCCGCGCUGGCUGCUUUGUUAAAUCCAGGGCCGCACAUUGAUCUGGUGGCGUUCAUGGGCGUGCCUCACACGGAUGAGGUGACAGGGUCAGGAGGGCGUCUCCUGCAGGGGUCAGUCCUGGGUCCGGUAUUAGCCCAUCUGACAUUUUCGCGAAUGACUUGGCUAAUGGAGAGGAGAGUGCGCUAUUCAAAUUGCAGAUGACCCGAGCUGGGCGGGGUGGCAAGCCCUUUGGAGGACAGGAUUCGAACUCAAAACGCCCUUGACGGGUUGGAGAAUUGGUCUGAAGCCAACACCAGGAUGUUCAAUACAGACACAUUCAAAGUACUUCACUCAGGAAGGAAAAAAUUGAACGCACAGCUACAAAAUGGGGACUAAGUGGGUAGGGGGUCAGAUGGCUGGCAGGGCUCUGGGGGUGACAGUGGGUCACAAAUUGGAGCUGAAUCAGCCAUGUGAUGUAGUUCUGAAAAAAGGCUAAUGACGAAUGUCAUUCUGGGGUGUAUGAACUGGCAUGUCGUAGGUAAGACACGGACGGUGAUUGUCCCGCUCUGCUCAGGCCUCAGCUGGAGUCCUGUGACUUUAGGCCAGACGUGGACAAAUUGCAGAGAGUCCAGAGGAGAGCAACAAAAACGAGAAAAGGUUUGGAAAACCUGACCUACGAGGGAAGGUUAUGGGGCUUUGUGGAGUGGAAUCCUCCACCCUGCAUCCUCAGAGGGAAGGAUGCUGGUUUUUGGGGCGCUCCCAGGGUGCCUGGCUGAGCUGGGGAGGUAGAGAAGAGGGGUGAUAUGUUCUUCACUCCGUAGGUGGAAUUAUAUCUGCCCCGGAGAUACCCUGUCUAUGAGGAAUGGUAGCAGCUCCCCACCUUCUCAGCCAUAGGAGGUGAUUUAAUUUGUUGGGGUUUGUAUCAAGCUGGCCAUGAAGGGGUGUGUCUAUGUGUCUCUGUGUGUAUGUGUGAAAUGCUGCCCCCUGCUGGAGGAAAUCAGGCCUUGUGUGUGCGAGAAUGCACUUGUGUUUUGCACGCCCCCCCCGAAUCGGUUCACUCUAUGGAAUCGGUUCACUCUAUUUGCACCACCGCUCACUAUUGUACAUCCUCAGUUCACUUUGUGCGUGUGUAGGCGUGUGAUGUGUUGCUAUUUAUCCGGCCAAAACCAUCUCACAGCUCCCAUCUGGAACAAAACAUUGGUUCCUCUCAGCUUCAGAGAGAGGGAGGGGAAAACUCUCUCGAUCCAAAGCGGAGCAAAUAAUGGGGGUGGGGGGCGGGGGAAAUAGAGGAGCGAUAAAUCCAGACAGGAUCCCAGACCAUGCGGUGAUUGGAAAACUAAUUUAUUUUGGCUGUUCUUUUACAUGUUUCCAAGCAGCAAAAGGGGGGAAAAUGUGAGUGUUUUUUGUUUUUUUUUCCAGUUCAUUUGUCUUUUUAAAAAUGUUUUAAUGCCACACAGACUGAAGAGGGGCAGAGGAAGAGAACGGAAGUGGAAACAGGAAAGGGAGGAAGGUAAGAAAAAAUGAAGAUGUUAUUUGUUUUUUUGUUUCUUAGCAAACACACCACAGAUUACAGGAAAACAGCCCACACUGAAACAAUACACAGCUCAAUACCCAAAAAAGGGAAGUCGAGGGACAUCGACAACUCGCAGAACCCAAAACAAGAUAGCGUUAACAAAGGACAGAUCACCACACCGUCCCUCCAGGCUAAGCCCUGAUGUGAAGAGGAACCGGAGCUUUGGGUCACUGUGAACCCAAAGGUUGGUUAUGAGACAAAUCGACGCCCUCCUACCAGUGGUCAAGGAUGUCAGAAGAUCUGGGGAGAACCCAGGCCUCUGGGGGAUGGAGAGAUGGAUGGAAAGAUGGCAGAGAACAAGAAACUUAGAUUUGCUGACCCCCAAGGAGUGUAUGUAUAGGGAUCCAGGAAGCGAGCGAGAGAGAGAGAGAGAGAGAAGGAAGGAGAGAUGUUAAUGGCUAUUUUAAUACUUUCAUGGCUGGACUGGGCACCAGCAAGACAACGAGCAGGGGAGUGAAAUCUUCAGCUGGCGGAAAUCACAGGAGCUAUAUGGAUUCCCACCAGCUGGGGAUCUGGUCCUGUUGACCCCAAUGGAGCGACGGCCAAGUGACCCCAGCUGGGGAUCUGGCCCCAUUGACCCCACUGGAGCGACGGCCGAGUGACACCAGCUGUUCUUAUUUAUUUCCAUUGCACAAAAAGGUGAUUUAUUAAAUCACCAUCCAUCUAUAGAAUAAGGAAUAGAACCCAGGAGUCUGGGCUCCUAUUUCCCCUGGCUCCAUCCUGUUAGACUCCACUCCCCUCUUAGAACCAGGACUAGAACCCAGGGGUCCUCAGUUCCUUAGAUCUCUCCAUCUCCUGAUGGAAACAAAGGGUGUCCCUGACCCUCAUGAUCACCCGGAGUGUCAUUCCUCUCCCGCUCUUGGACUCAUCACAUCUGUUUAUUCACAUUGCCAGGUAGAAGUC